GCUUGUGGCCUUUCUUUUGUUUUGCAAACAGUGCCUGAGAAAGAUUUUUCCCUGUGUUCAAGAAAAAUUCUUUUUAACAGUGUUGCAGAUCUAUUCAGAUGUUUAAAAUAAUGCUUAAAUUCAAAGAGUUUUGCUUCUAGUGAACUGUAAUCACUAGAAAAUUUUGCCUCUAGGUAUGGCUAAUGUAACUUUACAUUAUGUAAGAAAAAUUUUAUUGUUUCUGCUUCUAUACAAGAAGCCAAGAGUUUUAAUCUUUCAGUGUAUAUUGUUUCCUAAGUGAAAAGUAUUUUAUUAACUAAUGCUUCUUAAAGUUUACCUUAAAUCCUUGCUCUCACCCAAAAGAUUCAGAGACAAUAUCCUUUUAUUACUUAGGGUUUUAGUUUACUACAAAAGUUUCUACAAAAAAUAAAGCUUUUAUAAUUGUUAUUAAUUGGUAAUUAAAAAUUGGUUGUGCCCAAAACAAUUCUUUGGCCAAAAAAAAAAACAUUAUUGUAAAGUCAUUUUUCUCAUCCUCCCAGCCAAUCGUUGGCCCACGUGGGCCCAACUAGCUUCUGUGGGGCAGAGUCUUAAGACACAGUUUCCCCUGUUCCAGCACAGAUGAUCUAGUUGUGUGCUGUAGAUGGUGUUUUAAAAUGCUGAACAAUCAAACCUUAAUUUGUAUAUUAAUAGUCAAUGCCAUAUCUCUGAGCUCACAAUUGCUUAAAUUGUUCAUCCCUCAGAUACUAUUAAUUCUCAAAUUUACAAUUGCUUAUGCAUAUUUCUAGUUAAUAAAUAAAUUAUGCACAUGUGACUCUUAAUAACUUUACAAGCCUUCUAGUUACAACUGCUCCUUAAGAAAAUUGAUUAAAAGUGCAAUUAGUCACUGCCCCUUUACAGCCAAGUAUUUAAAAUGUUUUGUCAACUAGUUAUUAAUUCAAAAGUUUAGGUAUUGUAAAAUUUUAAAACUUUAACUUCUUAAAAGACAAAAAAGAGAGAAAUUGUAUCCCCGUGCAUGCUAUUUAGUGCAUUCCCAUGCACACUAUUAAAGUCUUACCUUUAUUUUCAAAAUCUAAUAUUUUAAUGUCAAAGAGUUUAAUAAAUGCUUUAUAGUAUCUUAAAGGGAUCUACUUAUUGGCUUAUAGAUUAAUCCUAAAACAGCUACCUUAUUAAAAAAGGGAAAAACAGGUUUUCUCCACAGAACGCUGCAGAAGCAUAUUAAUAAAUUCGUGUGACGAGCUGGUAGGUAAGUUGACUCAUGUCCUGAUUAAAUUGACUAAAAAACUAAAUUAAAUUCAUGUUUUAGAUCCAUCCUUACUUGUCAUUUUUCCAGUUUAGACUAGCUUCUAGCCUUUUAACUUUAUGACAAUAGUACAUCAGAGACUGUAUAUUCAGACUUAGUAAAAUUAGUCAUUUAAUAGAGUCAUAAUGAUUUUUCUCCUUUCUUCAGUGUGACCAGCCAUUCUAACUCAAUCUUAGACUGGUCCUAAUAUUCAGUCCAAUGUUAGAGAUUCCUAUAUUCUAAAUUACCUAGCAAGUUAAUUAAAGAGCAAUUGGUCACUUAAUACCCCCUGACUAACAAAUGGAAGGGUCCAGAUCCAGUUCUAAUUUGGGGUAGGGACUCAGUUUGUGUUUUUUCACGAGAUGAAGAUGGAGCGCGGUGGCUGCCAGAGAGAUUAAUUCGUCAGAUGAACACAGAUUCUGACUCUUCUGGUAAGUAUCAUUCUAAAGACUAAAAUUCCUUUUGUGCUUAAAAUUCAGCUGAGAGCAACAGCUCUCAAAGGUGUUCUCCAGCUACUCUCUGAACCAGCUCCCGACAGGAGGCCGGAGACUAGCCUCAGCUUUACAAUUUGCAUUUGAAUAAAGUACCUAGACUUCCCGGAAAGAAGUUCUGCUUUCCUACUUUCUCACUGUCUUUCAAGAUUUUGUCUUUCAAGCAGGUAAAUCAACAUUCCCGAGGCGGACCAGUAGAUGUGCAUCCCCGCCCCCCUAGAGCACACAGGUGGCAGCUGUUACCCCCAGUCUCAGGACAUUUCCAGCAUGUGGCUUUCAGUCUGAGUUAAAAAUUUAGGUUUACCUAGAGGGCUAGAAGAGUAGAUUUUUCUAUAUUAAUAAAGAUUGGUUUUUAUUUUGAUAGACAGGCUUAGCCCCUUAGCUGACCUCUGGCUUUUCACCCUUGCUGUUACUGCAAGGUGUCCUUAGCUCAAUAGGCUGUGGAAAAAACAGGGAUGAGGAGGAACGACUUCCAGCUCCUAUUUUACCCACAAAUCGUGGUGUUAUUAACGACAUAAUUCUUGCUUAGGCUUUGCUAAUUCUGAGGUUGAUAAUUCUCCUUUAGGAGCUGCACAGCACUCAGAACUGUGCAUACUGGUUUGUGAUUGUACAAAUUCAGUAUGGGCACCGCUUGGUGCAGAGAUACUUACUGCAAGGGAAGGUCCGGCUUGACCAUUUCUGAGUUUCCUGUGAGAUAAACCCGGUUUGAAAGAGGUUGGUACCAAAUUUUGGUUAAAAAUAAAAAAUAUUCUCCGGCUCUACCUCGCCUCCCCAAAAGGUACCAAGAGCCACAUGUGUGGGUUUUACCCACGGGAGGAAUCGGGUCCAUGUCCACCCAAGCCAAGGUUAAAAGCCCACUCAUCUACGGAUGAGAAAAUCAUUUGAUCACCUCAGUUAAGCGUUGCCUUAUUUAACUUAAUUAAUAGGGGGGAGAGAGAUUGGAGACGUACUAUUGAAAGGGCAAGCCCUUCACUGCCUCCCACCCAAAUAAAAAGGCCAAUUGGCCUUGUACUACAAGAGCCGGUCACUCCUUCUCCCUGUUUCCCACCUAUCUUCCAAAAAUGCUAAGGAAUUCAACUUAGUGUUAUUUUCACAUCGUUCAGUCAAACUUAGCCAGAGUUCCAAACGCCCUACUUAAAAUUCAACUAGAAAGUUACCUACCAAGUACUAAUUAGCAUU
rnacentral:lncRNA from 1 species